AUCAGGACUAAGGUUUGAGUCAGAAAGAGAUAAAGGAAAAGAAACAAGAAGCAAAUAACACAUUAUAGAUCAAGCUUAAAAGUAAUACUGAGCAUAUCGAUCGUCACCAAGAAGUCUUCGAUUGAAUUUGCAGUAUAUCAAUCGUCAAUUAAACCUCCUUUAAUUAAAUUUGCUAAGUUCUAUUAUGAACUGAACGAUCUUUAAUUCCCUUCGCUCAUGUUAAUCGUCAAUUGAAUGGUCUCUAAUCGAAUUUGUUGAAAUCAAUUGUCAAACGAGCGGUUUUCGAUUAAAUUUGUUAAAAUCAAUUGUCAAUUAAGCAGUUUGAAUUGACUCAUAUUAAUCAUCAAUUAAACACGAUAAUUAAUUUAGAAAGUAUUUAAUUAAAAUAAUUAAUUACUCGCAACCCUGCUAUGAAUUGAUACUUUCAAGUAGAUUUUACUGAUUGCACUGCUGUACUGAAUCAUUAAUUAUAAAUAUAGCAUUUUAAUGAAGAAUACACUAAUUGUACUUCAGAGAGUAUAUUGUACUCUCUCUUUAUGUAUUUUGCAAAUAUUUUGCCAUGAUAAAAAGACAAAACUGUAUAUAUAAAAAAUCUGUAUAGUUGAUCUUGCAACUUUACUCUAGAUAAUUUAAAUUAUAAAAAGAUUGUAACAAAUCGUGUAAGAGAUUAUCUUCUUUCAAAUAACUAAUAUAAUGAGUAAAAGAAAAAUUAGUCGAGCAGAGCUGGGAGAUUCUUUUUCCGUUCGUCAGCAUUGAUGCAGAAUGGAAAAUCGUCGACGCGAAAAUUCCGGCCGAUCGACGAGGAGAAAUGGGGGAUCUUCACGGAUCCGGAGAUGAUUAUUGCAGAAAAAUCAAUUUGAAGGAGAGAUCGGCCAUUAAAUAUAUAGUCGAAAUACACCCCGCAAUCGUGAUAAUUAACGAAGGAAGGUGCGGCCGCAAUAAAGAGAUAAUGACAGAUGUUAUGCCGACAUUAAGUAAUUAAUUCCGAACUACACGAAUGGAUGAUGGCAGAGACGAUCGCUACGCGCAUUCCUGUACCUGGUGGCACGCGCCAUGCGCUCCGGCCCGGCAACAGCUGCUCCUGCGCCCAAAGACCGGAGGUAGAUGAAUAAAGUGAGAGGCACACCUUGCUGCAGGCGCGUGCCGGCAGCUUUCAAGAUGUGAAUACCGAGAUCCUCCGUCUGUCUGGGCCGUUGAUCUCUCACCCUUUUAUCACCGGGAAUCGGAGCCGGCGAAACGCCGCCGCCGCCGCCGCCGCCGCCGCCGCCGCCGCAUAUGUCCGCCGUAGUCGGAGGCUUCCCGCGCGUACGCAAUAUCGAUCGCCGCGCAAGCGACUCGCUAAUUGCUGCGUCAAUCGAUCCACCGCGUAUCAGACGUGUUAACCGUAACGGUGUUUUGCGAAAAGAGAAAAAGAAGAGAGGAAAACAGAAUAAGUCUAAAGAGGGGAGUCUCUUCUCGAGAAGCAAUCUGCGGCAACACUCUCGUCGGAUCUUCAUUACCAAGUUAGACACAUGUAUGUGAAUUUGGCAGCGACUUUAUUAGUCGUUUUACUUGCCUCUCUUAUGAGCGGUUCAUACAGCACUCAUAUUUAACAUAUAAAACGAAAUAGAAAUACAACAGAAACAACAGAUUUUCGAGAUUUGUUCAAAAUAAUAUGUUAUGUAAAAUGUAAUAUGAAAAUUUGUAAGUAAAUUUGCAAAUUUACUUACUUUUAGUAAAUUUGUCGCUGUAUCAAUAUAACAAAAAAUUUACGUCACUGUGUAAAGUAAAUUUAAUGGAAAUCGCGGCGAUUCGAGAAGACACUUGAAACACUUAACCAUGCCGGCGUGCAAAUCUGAAGUAUGAAAACAAGCCACGAAGAUGCACGCGCAAUCGAGAGUCGAAUCGCAAGAAGUUACUUGAAGCGGCUUCAUCAUGUGACAACACCCACUGAGCAGACCUGCCCUACGUUAGCGAUCAAUAUUCAUCUGCGCUAUCACUAAUAUAUACUUCGAUGUAAAUUUAAUGAUUAAUUCACACUGAGAAAAAAGAUAUUAAAAAGUUAAUAAGUAUUUAUUAGAUGGGUACUAUUAACAUAUUUAUUUAAAUCAAAAUUCUCUUCAUUUAGAUCGAAUAAAAAAUAUUCGGUUUAAAUGAAAAGAAUUUUGAUUUACGUAAACAUGUUAAUAAUACCCAUCUAAUAAAUAUUUGUUAAUUUUUAGAUAUUUUUUUCUCAGUGUAAUUGUACAAACUGCAAUCGAGUCAAAUUGAAUAAAAAUUUAAUCAAAUAGGCAAUAUCUGAUAUAAAACUUUCAAUUGCAUUUGAAACUUGAGAAUAAUAUGAUAUCCGCAUAAAAAAAUAAUUAGGUGUGAAGAUAUUGAGAAAAGAAAUAAUUGAAUCGAUAAAAUCGGUGGUUAUUCGUUUGCGAAGAAAUAUUGUGUCUUUAACAAAUUACGUGUUAGUGCAACAAUAAAUUGCGUUGAUAUAGUUAUUGACCAAAUCAAUUGGUAACUGUCGUCGUAGUAACGUUAUAAUUCGUUCAAUCGACUAAAUGUUUGUUUAGACGAAUUUUGGUCGUUCAAGCAAAGUCUCAUUAACUCUCAUUAAGUCUCAUUAACGCUUCUCUUCUCGGUGAAGAACUAAGGCUCAGAUUUUGUGAUGCUCAUUGCAGUUGGGUCAAAUUAAAUAAAGUCAAGUCAGAUAAACAAUCCGAUACAGAAAUUUCAACUACGAAAUUUCAUUAACGUUUAAAAGUUAAUAAAACUGAAAUGUAAUUUUGUAUAUAUGAUAUAGAUGUUUGUCCAAUUGUUAAGACAUUAAUCUAAAUUAAAAAUACAAGUAAGUCUAUCUGUGGUUAAAAGUAGUUGAGCAAAUUGGACCGAUAAUGUAAUUGAGUCAAUGUAGAGAUCGUCUCAUUGAACUAAAUGUUCAGUUUAUUUUAUACAUAACAUGGAUAACAUUAAAAUAACACGAAAAAUGUUAAUACAAAUCCACCAAAUAAAUAUUUGUCAAUUUUUUAAUAUUUUUUUCUUAGUGCAGAUCUGUGUAACCCUGAAACUUAGUUCUCCUUACCUAAUUUCUAUUGUCAAUACGCGUAUUGUUAAUACUACCUUAAUAUUAUUACUUAAAAUACCUCA